GGCGUAGGGUCCAAGCGUUGUCCGGAUUUACUGGGCGUAAAGCGCGCGUAGGCGGUCUGUUAAGUGCACAAGUGAAAGCUCCGGGCUCAACUCGGAAAUUGCUUUGCAUACUGGCAGGCUGGAGGGACGCAGAGGUCUGUGGAAUUCCUGGUGUAACGGUGAAAUGUGUUGAUAUCAGGAGGAACACCCAUGGCGAAGGCAGCAGACUGGGCGUUUCCUGACGCUGAGGCGCGAAAGCGUGGGUAGCAAACAGG
rnacentral:rRNA from 1 species